GAAAAAGUCGGAUCGACCCGAUCGCAUGGCUUAAGAGUUGGUCCGAUUUAACCCCAUUUUAAACUCUGAUACUCAGAACAAGAGUGAAAUAGGGACGUUGAAAAUGCAGUAGGGUUUGACAGAGAGAGAUGAAGGCGGUGGCGGGUAUGGUGAUUUCCAAUAAGAUGCAGAAGUCGGUGGCGGUGGCGGUGGUAGGCUGUUCCAUCACAAACUCUACAACCGAUACGUGAAGAGGACCUCCAAAUUCAUGGCCCACGACGAGCAGAAUCAUUGCAACAUCGGUGACCGAGUCCGAUUGGAGCCAUCGAGACCUUUGAGCAAGCGCAAGCAUUGGGUUGUUGCCGAAAUCAUCACGAAAGCACGCAUUUAUGGGCCUAUUUUACCAUUACCACCUUCACCUUAUUCUACUUCUUAAGGCUUCCUCUUCAACUGCUAUUAUUAUUCCACGAUAAUUCUCUUAUCGUUGACUGCUAAAGUUGCUAGAAAAUGUAACUGAACAUGACAUAAGCCCAGCAUAUGCGAGAAGAAUAUGAAAGCUUUCCAGCAUGCAGAAUCGUGAUUUCACUUUCUUCUGGCAGGUGAAGCUUUUGUGUAGAGCAUCUGAGAGGCCGACAUGACCAGGUUUAGCCAAAGCAAGUUCUUUUAAUUUCUCAAAUAUUUUGUUUGUAUGGGAAUGUACCUUUACUCUAAAACCUAAUUAUGAGGAAUUUAUAUCUCCAAUUCUGUACUGAAUUUUCCCACCCGAUACUUUUGAUAAAUUCUAUAUAUAUCAUGCUUCUUUAAGUAAGGCAUUGA